rnacentral:lncRNA from 1 species
AUUUUGACUGGAGUUUCCAUGUACUUAAUUAAUACCUGUCUGUGGCUUUUUUCUUUUUAUAGACACAAGGUGCUUGUUAAAAUCACAGCGACUCUAGCUCCCUUCUCCACUGAUUUGCCUGAAAGACAAAUGCAUUUUAACAGCAUCUCAGGAAUCCAAAUCAAGAACAACCUGAAUUGGGGUACGCUCGUGUUGUGACGGCCGGACCGCCACAAGUGGCGCCCAACGUUGUGCCUGGGUAUCGAGGGAUCCAGUGAAGGACACCGCAGAGAAGAAGGAGGCCUCAACGAAAAGGUAAGGAGCGGUGAAUUUUCUUGUAAAUAUUAAAAAUGGGAGCCAGCAUUAGUUACAUGUUUUUUGUACAUAUUUUUAAAAAUUUAUUGAGUGUAGAGGAACCUGAAUCUUAUGAUGAAAGUGAAACUAUUGUUCCCACG